rnacentral:rRNA from 1 species
UACGUAGGGUGCGAGCGUUAAUCGGAAUUACUGGGCGUAAAGCGUGCGCAGGCGGUUCGUUGUGUCGGUGGUGAAAUCCCCGGGCUUAACCUGGGAAUGGCCAUGGAAACUGGCGAACUGGAGUGUGGCAGAGGGGGGUGGAAUUCUCGGUGUAGCGGUGAAAUGCGUAGAUAUCGAGAGGAACACCUGCGGCGAAGGCGGGUUGCUGGGCUGAUACUGACGCUGAGGCGCGAAAGCCAGGGGAGCGAACGGG